rnacentral:rRNA from 1 species
UACGAAGGGUGCAAGCGUUACUCGGAAUUACUGGGCGUAAAGCGUGCGUAGGUGGUUUGUUAAGUCUGUUGUGAAAGCCCCGGGGCUCAACCUGGGAAUGGCAAUGGAUACUGGCAAGCUAGAGUGCGGUAGAGGGUAGUGGAAUCCGGUGUAGCGGUGAAAUGCGUAGAGAUCGGGAGGAACACCAGUGGCGAAGGCGGCUACCUGG